rnacentral:rRNA from 1 species
AUUGCCCUCUCUCUUUCUUCCUAACACAUGCAAGUCGAACGGCAGCACAGUAAGAGCUUGCUCUUACGGGUGGCGAGUGGCGGACGGGUGAGGAAUACAUCGGAAUCUACUUUUUCGUGGGGGAUAACGUAGGGAAACUUACGCUAAUACCGCAUACGACCUACGGGUGAAAGCAGGGGAUCUUCGGACCUUGCGCGAUUGAAUGAGCCGAUGUCGGAUUAGCUAGUUGGCGGGGUAAAGGCCCACCAAGGCGACGAUCCGUAGCUGGUCUGAGAGGAUGAUCAGCCACACUGGAACUGAGACACGGUCCAGACUCCUACGGGCGGCAGCAGUGGGGAAUAUUGGACAAUGGGCGCAAGCCUGAUCCAGCCAUACCGCGUGGGUGAAGAAGGCCUUCGGGUUGUAAAGCCCUUUUGUUGGGAAAGAAAAGCAGCAGGUUAAUACCCCGCUGUUCUGACGGUACCCAAAGAAUAAGCACCGGCUAACUUCGUG